CGGCUACAAAUGUUAUUUGCGGCUCCUCCGCAAGCGGUAUUUUCCCGUCCACUAAGCCCACCGUGUAAUUUAUCCAUCUUACAUUAGCGAGACAAACAAUCUCACUAAUAUAAGUGGUGAAUACUGUGAGUACCGCAAAAUCACAACACCAUACAUGCUGCAUGGGUGGUGUAUGAUGGAAGGGUUGCCAUACAGAAUACACUAUAUGUAACUUUUCGUGUUCUGUCGCUACCAAUCAUACUUAUAAACUCAGCUAUCGUCUUGAGGAGGAUUAUUCUGUCCGAAACUCCUGUCGGAGUAGUAGUGCGCGUCGGUUUUAUAAUAUUAAUUGUAAGUUCUUGUUGAUUAUUACUAGGUGUAGAAUUCUAAAAUAAGUGUACUCUUUAAUAGAUACGGCAUUAGGGCAGUGAGUCGGCAAUAGUGGCUAUUGGGAAGUAGGGCAGCUGAAAAGAAGUGUGUGCGUGUGUGAAACAAGGAAAAAGGUAAAACUACUAUUGAAUGGUACUAUUGUUGGUGAUUAUUGUUAAGCGUGGCGUCACAAGGUGUUAAAGAUUGGGUCAGGUCCAUAUUGUGGGCCUUUUUUUCUUUUUGUGCCCUUUUGGCGGUGCCGGAGGUGGCGUGUUUUCUUGCACAGAGCAGACGUGCUUCAGUUCCCAGGGCCAGGCGGUGCCGAACAAAAGUUUAUACGGGCAAUUGGACGCGAGAUCGCCUCGCACGUGGCCGAACAACUAUUGUUCGAGCCAUCUCGCCAUUGUGCAUAGGGCGAUACCCAUUAUCGUCUCGAUCCAUUGUCCAGGGAUCAAUACAGCCACGCAUGGGCCCGGCCACGACGCCAUUACUGCAGUGACCAGCCACUUGGUUCUUCGACCGACCAAAGCUCCGUUCGACCAAAAUCAUCGUCCUGCAUGACCAAGGCCAUCGUCCGACCAAAGCCACCACCCUGCAUGACCAACGCACCGUACGACCACAGCCAUCGUUCGACCAAAGCCACUUCGUUCCUUGUCGUCAAGCACCGUUCGACCAAACCAUCGCCCUGCAAGACCAAAGCACCGUUCGACCAAAACCAUCGACCGACCAAAGCCCGCCCGCCAGGUCUGCAGUCGUUCGACUUGUAGCAGGUCCGUCCAAAGCAUUCACGGUGGGAUUCGACCAAGAAAAUCUCGGGAACAGGCCGACACUUCCGGCGAUCGUCCAGUGCACCAGCCAUCAUCUGUGCUCGCGGUGGGAUACCUGAGAACGUCGUGGACAAAAGCCAUCGGCGAAUAUGCAGAAUCAUCGAGAGCCUUCUGCAUGUCGCUCGCCAGCAACAACCAUCGUCAGCAAGCCUUAGCGGUUACCUACGCCGCUUAAACACCAGCCCGACACCAUAAACCGCAAGUACCCAUUCCAAAACCCUAUGACGUCACAACGACAAAUAUUAAGGUUUAAUAAAUAAGCAUGUAAAACAUA